rnacentral:rRNA from 1 species
GACGAACGCUGGCGGCGUGCCUAAUACAUGCAAGUAGAACGCUGAAGAGAGGAGCUUGCUCUUCUUGGAUGAGUUGCGAACGGGUGAGUAACGCGUAGGUAACCUGCCUGGUAGCGGGGGAUAACUAUUGGAAACGAUAGCUAAUACCGCAUAAAAUUGAUUAUUGCAUGAUAAUUAAUUGAAAGAUGCAACUGCAUCACUACCAGAUGGACCUGCGUUGUAUUAGCUAGUUGGUGAGGUAACGGCUCACCAAGGCGACGAUACAUAGCCGACCUGAGAGGGUGAUCGGCCACACUGGGACUGAGACACGGCCCAGACCCCUACGGGAGGCAGCAGUAGGGAAUCUUCGGCAAUGGGGGGAACCCUGACCGAGCAACGCCGCGUGAGUGAAGAAGGUUUUCGGAUCGUAAAGCUCUGUUGUAAGAGAAGAACGGGUGUGAGAGUGGAAAGUUCACACUGUGACGGUAUCUUACCAGAAAGAGACGGCUAACUACGUG